GCUGGCGGCGUGCUUAAGACAUGCAAGUCGAACGGUAAGGCGAGUCACUCUUCGGAGUGACUUGCACACGAGUGGCGCACGGGUGAGUAACGCGUGGGUAAUCUGCCUUCGGGUUUGGGACAACUCCGGGAAACUGGAGCUAAUACCAAAUAAGACCACGAGGUCCUCGGGCCUUGUGGGAAAAGGUGGCCUCUUCUUGAAAGCUAUCGCCGGUUGAUGAGCCCGCGUCCCAUUAGCUUGUUGGUGAGGUAAAGGCUCACCAAGGCAUCGAUGGGUAGCUGGUCUGAGAGGAUGAUCAGCCACACUGGAACUGAGACACGGUCCAGACUCCUACGGGAGGCAGCAGUCGGGAAUCUUGCACAAUGGGCGAAAGCCUGAUGCAGCAACGCCGCGUGAGGGAUGAAGGCCCUCGGGUCGUAAACCUCUGUCGGAAGGGAAGAAAGUAUUCCGGGCCAAUACCCCGGAGUAUCGACGGUACCUUCAAAGGAAGCGCCGGCUAACUCCGUG
rnacentral:rRNA from 1 species